GUAUUCCGCUCCAUAGCGUAUAUUAAAGUUGUUGCAGUUAAAAAGCUCGUAGUUGAAUUUCGGGAUCAAUACGUCGGUCGUGCUUCGGUACGUACUGGCGUCAUUGAUUUCUCCCUUCUGACGAACCAUGAUGUCAUUAACUUGGUGUCAUGGGAAAUCAGGACUGUUACUUUGAAAAAAUUAGAGUGUUUAAAGCAGGCUCACGCUUGAAUACAUUAGCAUGGAAUAAUGAAAUAGGACGUUCGAUCCUAUUUUGUUGGUUUCUAGGAUCAACGUAAUGAUUAAUAGGGAUAGUUGGGGGCAUUAGUAUUCAAUUGUCAGAGGUGAAAUUCUUGGAUUUAUUGAAGACUAACUACUGCGAAAGCAUUUGCCAAGGAUGUUUUCAUUAAUCAAGAACGAAAGUUAGGGGAUCGAAGACGAUCAGAUACCGUCGUAGUCUUAACCAUAAACUAUGCCGACUAGGGAUCGGAUGAUGUUAAUUAUUUAAUGACUCAUUCGGCACCUUACGGGAAACA
rnacentral:rRNA from 1 species